GACGAGCGCUGGCGGCGUGCUUAACACAUGCAAGUCGAACGAUGAAGCCUAGCUUGCUAGGUGGAUUAGUGGCGAACGGGUGAGUAAUACGUGAGUAACCUACCUUUAACUCUGGGAUAAGCCUGGGAAACUGGGUCUAAUACCGGAUACGACCAAUCUCCGCAUGGGGUGUUGGUGGAAAGCGUUAUGUAGUGGUUAUAGAUGGGCUCACGGCCUAUCAGCUUGUUGGUGAGGUAACGGCUCACCAAGGCGACGACGGGUAGCCGGCCUGAGAGGGUGACCGGCCACACUGGGACUGAGACACGGCCCAGACUCCUACGGGAGGCAGCAGUGGGGAAUAUUGCACAAUGGGCGCAAGCCUGAUGCAGCGACGCCGCGUGAGGGAUGACGGCCUUCGGGUUGUAAACCUCUGUUAGCAGGGAAGAAGAGAGAUUGACGGUACCUGCAGAGAAAGCGCCGGCUAACUACGUGCCAGCAGCCGCGGUAAUACGUAGGGCGCGAGCGUUGUCCGGAAUUAUUGGGCGUAAAGAGCUUGUAGGCGGUUUGUCGCGUCUGCUGUGAAGGCCGGGGCUUAACUCCGUGUAUUGCAGUGGGUACGGGCAGACUAGAGUGCAGUAGGGGAGACUGGAAUUCCUGGUGUAGCGGUGGAAUGCGCAGAUAUCAGGAGGAACACCGAUGGCGAAGGCAGGUCCCUGGGCUGUAACUGACGCUGAGAAGCGAAAGCAUGGGGAGCGAACAGGAUUAGAUACCCUGGUAGUCCAUGCCGUAAACGUUGGGCACUAGGUGUGGGGGACAUUCCACGUUUUCCGCGCCGUAGCUAACGCAUUAAGUGCCCCGCCUGGGGAGUACGGCCGCAAGGCUAAAACUCAAAGAAAUUGACGGGGGCCCGCACAAGCGGCGGAGCAUGCGGAUUAAUUCGAUGCAACGCGAAGAACCUUACCAAGGCUUGACAUAUACUGGACCGCAUCAGAGAUGGUGUUUCCCUUCGGGGCUGGUAUACAGGUGGUGCAUGGUUGUCGUCAGCUCGUGUCGUGAGAUGUUGGGUUAAGUCCCGCAACGAGCGCAACCCUCGUUCUAUGUUGCCAGCACGUUAUGGUGGGGACUCAUAGGAGACUGCCGGGGUCAACUCGGAGGAAGGUGGGGAUGACGUCAAAUCAUCAUGCCCCUUAUGUCUUGGGCUUCACGCAUGCUACAAUGGCCGGUACAGAGGGUUGCGAUACUGUGAGGUGGAGCUAAUCCCUAAAAGCCGGUCUCAGUUCGGAUUGGGGUCUGCAACUCGACCCUAUGAAGUCGGAGUCGCUAGUAAUCGCAGAUCAGCAACGCUGCGGUGAAUACGUUCCCGGGCCU
rnacentral:rRNA from 1 species